rnacentral:tRNA from 1 species
GGGCCGUUAGCUCAGUUGGCUAGAGCGCUUCCAUGGCAUGGAAGAGGUCGCAGGUUCAACUCCUGUACGGUCCA